UUCAACGGCCGCGGUACCCUAACCGUGCGAAGGUAGCGUAAUCACUUGUCUAUUAAAUACAGACCAGUAUGAAUGGCAUCACGAGGGUUAUACUGUCUCCCAACUUCAAUCAGUUAAACUGAUCUCCCCGUGAAGAAGCGGGGAUCCCGUUACAAGACGAGAAGACCCCAUGAAGCUUUAAACUAAAAGUCAACUGCUAAACCAAAUACCAUUCAAACAGCAGCUAUGACCCAAAAGUUUUCGGUUGGGGCGACCACGGAGUACCACAAAACCUCCGCGAUGAACGAACCUUAAAUUCUUACCCAAGAGCCACACCCCAAAGGAUCAUAAUUAUGACAUCUCUUGACCCAAACCACUUGAUCAACGAACCUAGUUACCCUGGGGAUAACAGCGCAAUCCAUUUCGAGAGUCCCUAUCGACAAAUGGGUUUACGACCUCGA
rnacentral:rRNA from 1 species